rnacentral:rRNA from 1 species
AUUGAACGCUGGCGGCAUGCCUUACACAUGCAAGUCGAACGGUAACGCGGGGCAACCUGGCGACGAGUGGCGAACGGGUGAGUAAUGCAUCGGAACGUGCCCAGUUGUGGGGGAUAACUGCUCGAAAGAGCAGCUAAUACCGCAUACGACCUGAGGGUGAAAGAGGGGGAUCGCAAGACCUCGUGCAAUUGGAGCGGCCGAUGUCAGAUUAGGUAGUUGGUGGGGUAAAGGCCUACCAAGCCGACGAUCUGUAGUUGGUCUGGGAGGACGACCACCCACACUGGGACUGAGACACGGCCCAGACUCCUGCGGGAGGCAGCAGUGGGGAAUUUUGGACAAUGGGCGCAAGCCUGAUCCAGCAAUGCCGCGUGCAGGAAGAAGGCCUUCGGGUUGUAAACUGCUUUUGUCAGGGAAGAAAUCCUCUGGGUUAAUACCCCGGGGGGAUGACGGUACCUGAAGAAUAAGCACCGGCUAACUACGUGCCAGCAGCCGCCGUAAUAC